rnacentral:tRNA from 1 species
GACUCCAUGGCCAAGUUGGUUAAGGCGUGCGACUGUUAAUCGCAAGCCUGUGAGUUCAACCCUCACUGGGGUCG